rnacentral:rRNA from 1 species
GGGGAAUAUUGGACAAUGGGCGCAAGCCUGAUCCAGCCAUGCCGCGUGAGUGAUGAAGGCCCUAGGGUUGUAAAGCUCUUUCGCCAGGGACGAUAAUGACGGUACCUGGAUAAGAAGCCCCGGCUAACUUCGUGCCAGCAGCCGCGGUAAUACGAAGGGGGCUAGCGUUGUUCGGAUUAACUGGGCGUAAAGCGCACGUAGGCGGAUCUUUAAGUCAGGGGUGAAAUCCCGAGGCUCAACCUCGGAACUGCCUUUGAUACUGGGGAUCUCGAGUUCGGGAGAGGUGAGUGGAACUGCGAGUGUAGAGGUGAAAUUCGUAGAUAUUCGCAAGAACACCAGUGGCGAAGGCGGCUCACUGGCCCGAUACUGACGCUGAGGUGCGAAAGCGUGGGGAGCAAAC